AAGAAAAUAUUUUAAUUUUAGAAUGUUUCAUUGUUAAUGAAAAGGUUUUUUCUUU
rnacentral:tRNA from 1 species